rnacentral:rRNA from 1 species
AAACUUAGCAUAUCAAUAAGCGRAKGAWAAGARACUACAGGAUUCCCCUAGUAACUGCGAGUGAAGCGGGAAAAGCUCAAAUUUAAAAUCUGGUGGCCUUUGGUCAUCCGAGUUGUAAUUUAGAGAAGCGUCUUCCGCGCUGGACCGUGCACAAGUCUCCUGGAAUGGAGCGUCGUAGAGGGUGAGAAUCCCGUCUUUGGCACGGACGCCCAGUGCUUCUGUGAUGCGCUCUCGAAGAGUCGAGUUGUUUGGGAAUGCAGCUCAAAAUGGGUGGUGAACUCCAUCUAAAGCUAAAUAUUGGCGAGAGACCGAUAGCGAACAAGUACCGUGAGGGAAAGAUGAAAAGCACUUUGGAAAGAGAGUGAAACAGUACGUGAAAUUGUUGAAAGGGAAACGCUUGAAGUCAGUCGCGUCGUCCGAGACUCAGCCUCGCCUCGGCUUGGYGUACUUCUCGGCCGACGGGUCAGCAUCAAUUUUGCCCCUUGGAUAAUGGCGAGGGAAAUGUGACACCUUUGCGGGUGUGUUAUAGUCUCUAGUCGCAUGCAAGGGUCGGGAUUGAGGAACUCAGCACGCGCCUUCGGGCGUCGGGGUUCGCCCACGAUACGUGCUUAGGAUGUUGGCGUAAUGGCUUUAAACGACCCGUCUUGAAACACGGACCAAGGAGUCUAACAUGCCCGCGAGUGUUCGGGUGGAAAACCCGUGCGCGCAAUGAAAGUGAAAGUUGGGACCUCCGUCGUGGAGGGCACCAACGCCCGGACCAGACCUUCUGUGACGGAUCUGCGGUAGAGCGUGUAUGUUAGGACCCGAAAGAUGGUGAACUAUGCCUGAAUAGGGUGAAGCCAGAGGAAACUCUGGUGGAGGCUCGUAGCGAUUCUGACGUGCAAAUCGAUCGUCAAAUUUGGGUAUAGGGGCGAAAGACUAAUCGAACCAU